rnacentral:rRNA from 1 species
UACGUAGGGUGCUAGCGUUAUCCGGAUUUACUGGGCGUAAAGCGCACGCAGGCGGUCAAUUAAGUCAGAUGUGAAAGCCCCGAGCUUAACUUGGGAAUUGCAUCUGAAACUGGUUGGCUAGAGUCUUGUAGAGGGGGGUAGAAUUCCAUGUGUAGCGGUGAAAUGCGUAGAGAUGUGGAGGAAUACCGGUGGCGAAGGCGACUUACUGGUCUGUGAUUGACGCUGAGGCUCGAAAGCGUGGGUAGCAAACAGG